GAGAAAAGAACGCAAUCCUACCGUUGAAUGGGCCGCACGGAUGUUAGCCUGGCUGAUUUUGUUGGCCGUAGUACAGCCCAUGUUCUGGAGAAGCUGUAAAAUGGGGUUUCGCCGCCGCCACGGCGGCCGGAAAUCGCCCAUGAGUAAAUCGCCAUGAGCUCUCCAGACCGGCGCCGGCGAGCGCCAUCCUCUCCUCCGUCUGAUUCGUCCCGACUCGAUGGCACCGCUCCAAUUUCCUCACCGCCGACGAGCUCAAUUACAGUGGUUACUUUGACUUCGGUGUGCCGCACUUUGGUGUGCUGGGAUAGAAGACAGGAUAGUAGGUGUUCAGCUCAAGCUGGUCCAGGAUUUGAUUGACAAGUGUCAAGUAGGAAGAAUGUCCAACGAUGAGCUCACUGGCAUCAACCUGUACAUUAACUGCUUGGAUGCCGGCCAAGCCUUGUGAAAGCAGGCUACAUGAGAGAUCAUUUUCAUGGAAAAAAUGAUGACUCCACAUCCACAAUCUGUGAUAGUGAUUCUGAAAUAUGAGUCAGAUUUACCUUGCUCGAAAAGUGAUACCGAGAAUCCAAUCAUUUGUGGAGUAAACAUUCACAAAUCGUCCAGCAACCAUCUGCGGAAAUGCAUGGCCAUCCAUACUAGUGAGAAGAUGACAUGGAGCAAGGUCAUAUACCCCCGGAGAUGGCCAUCAGCGUUCCUCCCGUCAAGGCGGCUGCGCCGAUGAUUCCUCCACGCUUCCAGUUCUCCCAUCUGCUUCUUGGUGACUCGCUUCCUUCUGACUGUUCUUCCUCUCUCGCUGCAGCCAUAGCAGAGCAAGCAACCAUUAUCUCGAUAGCUUCCUACAAUGCCAAAACGUUCGAUUACAAAAACAUAUAGUUUGUGUCCAUGACAAAACUGGUAGAGAGAUCACUGUUCUUAGCGUGUGCAUUUACAUGUACAACUAGGCUUUCUUUCUAUCCUAAUUUCACAUGGACGAGAAUGCUGUGCUGUUAUCCAAAAAAAAAAGAGAAUGCUGUGCUAAAUGUACCCUGUCAUGUGUUCUAGACUUCUAGCAUUUUCAUGAAAAAACUAAUCUAGUGAUCACAGAUAAUGAGACUACUGGACACUAUGGUCAUAAAACAUUUGAUGCUUAGGACAAGUUAGUCAAACUUCUUUUGAAACUUUGACCAUGAAUAAUUCCUCGAAAUUCCUAGUUAAAAAAUGGUGUAAGCAAAUUUCCCUUGAAUAGUAAUAUCGUAACAUUGAAACUUAUUGUAUUUUAUAAACUCAUUCUAACAAAAAAAUUAUAUGGUCAUAGUUUUACAAGUUUAGAAUCUUGUCCUAAACAUCAAAUCAAAUACUCCAUCCGUCCUAAAAUAUAAAUAAUUUUGGCUGGUUGUGACACAUUCUAGUAGUACGAAUCUGGACAUAGAUGUGUCCUAUCCUACUCCAAUACCUUAUAUUUUGGGACGGAUGGACUACCUAUGAUCAGAGGGAGUGUUAGUGAUCUUAUCUUGUAAGAAAAGCAAUGGAAUCUCUGGACAAA